rnacentral:rRNA from 1 species
GAUGAACGCUGGCGGCGUGCUUAACACAUGCAAGUCGAACGAUGAAGCCCAGCUUGCUGGGUGGAUUAGUGGCGAACGGGUGAGUAACACGUUAGUAACCUGCCCUUAACUCUGGGAUAAGCCUGGGGAACUGGGUCUAAUACCGGAUAGGAGCGUCCCCCGCAUGGUGGGUGUUUGAAAGAUUUAUCGGUUUUGGAUGGACUCGCGGCCUAUCAGCUUGUUGGUGAGGUAAUGGCUCACCAAGGCGACGACGGGUAGCCGGCCUGAGAGGGUGACCGGCCACACUGGGACUGAGACACGGCCCAGACUCCUACGGGAGGCAGCAGUGGGGAAUAUUGCACAAUGGGCGCAAGCCUGAUGCAGCGACGCCGCGUGAGGGAUGACGGCCUUCGGGUUGUAAACCUCUUUCAGUAGGGAAGAAGCGAAAGUGACGGUACCUGCAGAAGAAGCACCGGCUAACUACGUG